UGGGGAAUAUUGGACAAUGGGCGAAAGCCUGAUCCAGCCAUGCCGCGUGUGUGAAGAAGGUCUUCGGAUUGUAAAGCACUUUAAGUUGGGAGGAAGGGCAGUAAAUUAAUACUUUGCUGUUUUGACGUUACCGACAGAAUAAGCACCGGCUAACUCUGUGCCAGCAGCCGCGGUAAUACAGAGGGUGCAAGCGUUAAUCGGAAUUACUGGGCGUAAAGCGCGCGUAGGUGGUUUGUUAAGUUGGAUGUGAAAUCCCCGGGCUCAACCUGGGAACUGCAUUCAAAACUGACAAGCUAGAGUAUGGUAGAGGGUGGUGGAAUUUCCUGUGUAGCGGUGAAAUGCGUAGAUAUAGGAAGGAACACCAGUGGCGAAGGCGACCACCUGGACUGAUACUGACACUGAGGUGCGAAAGCGUGGGGAGCAAACAGGAUUAGAUACCCAGGUAGUCCCUGAGCGGGCUGGCAAGGCGCAU
rnacentral:rRNA from 1 species